GUGUUUGCCAUGGAAGGUGAGCAGGCCAUGUUGAGUCACAGGGCGCUGUGAGGCACAGCCUGCAUCAUCUGGGCAACGGGAGUGUAAGCAUUAUGAAUUUUAGUAACACUCCUACUUGAAACCUGGUUGGACUUCUGAUCAGAAUGGCAAAGAAAUUAACAUUAGCAAAAGAAGUGGGACUUCAGACUGGAAAGUUAAGAAUAUGAGCAACACCAAAAAGCCAUCACAAAGAAGAUGAAUCUUUCUCCACUUCCAGUAAGACAAAACAAGAAAUAACAAGCCUAACUACAGCAAAGGAAAUUUGGGUUAGAUGCAAGCAAGAGAUUUAUAAUGGUAUGAAGAGGAGUCCCAUCAGCAGACACUAAAAAGAACAGCAGGAUCGUGUUCUGCAAACAACUGCCCUGCAGGAGGGAAAUCAACUUUUUACAUGGGUAGGUGGUGAUAGGACAUGGGGGUUCAAUUUAAAACUAAAGGAAGGGAGAU
rnacentral:lncRNA from 1 species